rnacentral:lncRNA from 1 species
CCAACAAGUGGUUGAGUUGCAUCAACAUGGCCCUCUCAGAUUUUUACGCCGCCAACUCUAACUAUCAGACAAGAUUGGUCCUCCACACCAGGGACUCCAUGAGGGAUGUUGUUGGUGCAGCUGCUGCAGGUGCGUUUUCAUCUCUCUCUACUCUUUAUUUGUCAAGGAAUUAGCAUAUUCAUUGUGAAGAAAUGUUCAAUGGGUUCAAAUUAGACUUGAUUAAAUAUGAACCUUGUUGGAGCUAAACAAAUCAAAUAUAAACUGACAUUAAAGAAGUAGAAAGGAAGACAACAUAGACAUGAAAGAAAAUAGACUCACAGCAGUUGCAGGAAGAAACCCCUUUUCUCUUGUAUUUUAAAGCACACUUACAUAUCAUAGAACAUCUUUUGCUUUACAUAUAUAUAUUUACAGAGAUACAAGAGUUUCAGAAAAUUCUAGAUUACACUUGUCAACAAAAGUGUGGCUUGAUAAGACACCACUAAUAUUCUCUAGAAUUAACUAUAGCUAUAUUUAAAUUAUUCUGAAAACUCUCAAUUCUAACAAACCUGCGUUUAAUUAUUCAGACAAGGACGUGCACAGCACAUGAAAGUGGGAG